UCAAGUAGUUCCUUCCUUGAAUCUC
rnacentral:piRNA from 1 species